rnacentral:rRNA from 1 species
GACAGAGGGUGCAAACGUUGUUCGGAAUUACUGGGCGUAAAGCGCGUGUAGGCGGCCCUGCAAGUCGGAUGUGAAAUCCCACGGCUCAACCGUGGAAGUGCAUUCGAAACUGCAGGGCUAGAGUCCUGGAGAGGAAGGUGGAAUGCUUGGUGUAGAGGUGAAAUUCGUAGAUAUCAAGCGGAACACCGGUGGCGAAGGCGGCCUUCUGGACAGUGACGUGACGCUGAGACGCGAAAGCGUGGGGAGCAAACAGGG